rnacentral:rRNA from 1 species
GACAGCAGUAGCCGCGGGAAUACGUAGGUCCCGAGCGUUGUCCGGAUUUAUUGGGCGUAAAGCGAGCGCAGGCGGUUAGAUAAGUCUGAAGUUAAAGGCUGUGGCUUAACCAUAGUACGCUUUGGAAACUGUUUAACUUGAGUGCAAGAGGGGAGAGUGGAAUUCCAUGUGUAGCGGUGAAAUGCGUAGAUAUAUGGAGGAACACCGGUGGCGAAAGCGGCUCUCUGGCUUGUAACUGACGCUGAGGCUCGAAAGCGUGGGGAGCAAACAGGAUUAGAUACCCCCGUAGUCCCUGUCUCUUAUACU